rnacentral:tRNA from 1 species
ACCUGGCUGGCUCAGUUGGUGGAUGGUGAGACUCUUGAUCUUGGGGGUUGUGGGUUCAAACCCCAUGUUGGGUA